CCCUUAGAUGUUCUGGGCCGCACGCGCGCUACACUGACGAUGGCAACGAGUUUUUCCUUCGCCGAAAGGUGUGGGUAAUCUCUUGAAACAUCGUCGUGCUGGGGAUAGAUCAUUGCAAUUUUUGAUCUUGAACGAGGAAUUCCUAGUAAGCGCGAGUCAUCAGCUCGCGUUGAUUACGUCCCUGCCCUUUGUACACACCGCCCGUCGCUACUACCGAUUGAAUGGUUUAGUGAGGACUCCUGAUUGGCGCCGCCGCCCCGGCAACGGAGCAGCGGACUGCCGAAAAGUUGUUCAAACUUGAUCAUUUAGAGGAAGUAAAAGUCGUAACA
rnacentral:rRNA from 1 species